AUUGAGCUUAUUAUAUUCUAUUUGUAACAUGCAAAGAGAGAAAAUAUGACUAAAACUCUCAAAAUUUUAACUUCUAUGAUUUUAUUACUUUCCUUAUUUUUUGUUUCAGAAAACAAUAGCGAAAUAAUUGAUUGUAAAACAGAUGCAGAUUGUCUAAAACUGAUUAAUUACUUUUGGGUGCGCGACCGGAAUUGGAAGUGCAUGGACAAGAAAUGUAAACCUCAUCAUUACUGAUAUACCCAAAUUUUUAAAGAGAAAUAGGAAUAUGUACAAACAGUGUAAAAUAUUUUUAUACUGUUAACCAAUCACAACCAUGUAUCCAAUUAAAACACAAUUUUAAUUUAAAAAACUAACAUGACAUGGCAAGUGUAA